AUAUGCUAUCCACUCCAAUACUACAAUCUUGCAAAAAAAAAAUCUAGGACUAAAAUCUAAACUAAUCUCCAAAGAAUAAAGGAGGGAGAUAUAUAUUGGUUAGCCAAGUGAUAGGUGGAGAAGAGAGGUAAAGGCAGAGUCUUUGUGAAGUGAUCAUGAAGCCGCGUCCAUCUCCGGCGCCGGCGACUUCCGGCAUGCUGGCCAGGCUCCGGCCGCAUCUCACGCGGCUCACCGUAUUUCUGAUCGUCUUCUCCGUCGGGUACUCGGUUGGCAUCAUGUCGUCGUCGUCCAUCCGGCCGUCUCCGAAGCCGUCGCAGACGGUCAUACGGCCGCACGCCGCGCACCUCACUGCCUCCACGGCUGUCCCGGCGACGAACGGCAGCGCCGCGGCCGCGGCGAACUACCCGCGCUCGCCGCCGCACGAUCUGUUCCGGUUCAGGGAGGAGUGCGCGGAAGCGAUACCGAGCGACGCCGUCGUGCGGACUCUUCUUGACAAGCUGUUCGACGGGGAGAGCCCGUACGACAGCUUCCCGCCGCCGCACACCGCGGCGCUGCUGCACCCGGCGAAGGAGAGGCCGCGUGGGUGGGGGUCCACCGGCGCGGUGUUCGCGGAGCUGAUCGAGGAGGUGCGCCCCGACGUCAUCGUCGAGCUCGGCGCCUUCCUGGGCGCCUCGGCGCUGCACAUGGCGGCGGUGUCCAAGAACCUCUCGCUGUCGCCGGCCAUCCUCUGCGUGGACGACUUCCGCGGCUGGCCGGCGUUCCGCGACCGGUUCCGCCGCGACGUCCCGCCGCCGCGGCACGGCGACGCGCUGCUGCUGCCGCAGUUCAUGUCCAACGUGGCCGCGGCGGGGCCCGACGCCACGGCGCGGGUGCUCCCGCUCCCCUUCUCCACGGCGUCCGCGCUCGCCGCGCUGUGCCAGUGGGGCAUCUACGCCGACCUCAUCGAGGUGGACGCCGGCCACGACUUCCACUCGGCGUGGGCGGACAUCAACCUGGCCUGGGCCGUGCUCCGCCCCGGCGGCGUCAUGUUCGGCCACGACUACUUCACCGCCGCCGACGACCGCGGCGUCCGGCGCGCGGUGACGCUGUUCGCGAGAGUAAAAGGCCUCACCGUCCGGCCACACAGCCAGCACUGGGUCCUCUCCCCGAAGCCGCUCCACCGCGACGGCCGGUGACUCCUCGCCGGCGCGCACACGGCAAAAAAAAAGCUCUCAUUCUCACAGUGCGCCUGUCGCCGUCGCCGGCGGGGCCACGCACUCGGCGACGUCGGCGUCCACCGCCCGCUGCGUGGAAAGCUCGGGAUCCACACGUGUUCGUCCCAAACUCUCAACCACCACCCUCUCUCCAGCUCCAUUCUUACACAAGAAUCAACUCAACAACACUCUCCUCUGUAUUCUCAAUUUAUAUACUAUAGAUACCAAAUUUAUACACACGAUCUUAUACGUUCAUCAGGUGAGAUUACGACAUUGAAGUGUCGAGUGUGUGUGUGCAGUGCUAGCAAGCUAGUGACCAAGAGCAAAGAUGGCGAUUCCAGUUGGUGGCGAUGGUUGUGAGGUGACAGUGAUGUUUGGUGGCUAGUGGAGCAGGGAGUGAUGCUGUUCGCGUACCGACCAGAGGAAGAAGAUGAUGAUCGGAAAGCCAUUGGAGGAGGAGAGCAAUGGAUGGAGAUGGCGAUAUGGGCACAGGAUAGAAGAGAGCUUUUUCUCUGAUUUAAGUUUUUACUCUGAUUUACGGCUUGUUUGAGCAAGCUUCUCUGCUAUAGUAUUUUCCAAAAGCUAUUUCUGUCAGAAGCUAUUUCAAACGGUUCACAACUUAUAGAUUCUGAAAAAUAAACUAAGAAUUCAGAAACUGGAGAAGCUGGGUUU